GCCCCGUUAGCUCAGUUGGUAGAGCAGUUGCCUCUUAAGCAAACGGUCGUAGGUUCGAAUCCUACACGGGGCA
rnacentral:tRNA from 1 species